rnacentral:lncRNA from 1 species
UCGGCAUCUAGAGACCGUCGUGUGUGGUGGAUCUCGUUGUAUCAGUGGUUGUAGUAGUAUUACAAAACGUCAAAACCUCAUCCUUGGUGUCUUUUUCAGGAUGGUGGGUUGUAAUCAUUUGUGUGCAAGCGGUACUGCCUUGGGAUUGCGCAGUGGUGGAAAGGUUUUGCUUGUCAUUCCUUUUUGGUCUUGGUGUUUGUAGGAUUAAGCCUUGUUUUCCUUCACUGCUGCUCGCUCUUACCAUAUAUUUAUAUCUCUUUCUCUCUUUUGGUGUCUUCCGAUUGUUGAGAUUUCUGUUUUCCUUUUUGAGGCUUAGGUUUCUUCAUUGGGUUAGGUUUCUUUCUUCAAUGGGUUAAGUUUCUUUUCUUCAAUUAAAUGAAUAAAUUUUGGUGGGAGAUAGAGCUUGUGUUUGGGGGUUUUCCCCUUGCUAGUUCUUCAUUUUUGAGAUUUAAGCUUAGCUGGUUGGUUUGUUUAUCUUGUUGUGACGAUUAGAAGAUUUUUGCAGUUUUUGUUUAUCUGACGGUCUAUUGAGCAAGAUAAACUUGACAAAGGUAAAUCAUACAAGGAGGUUCAUCAAAGUCGGAGAAUGGCAAGUUUUGUAUUUGAGUUAUGGCCAAAUAUGUGUUAGGAGAUUAUCUUUAAAACAUAUUGUACGGAAAAAAUCCGAAACAAAGCUAUAAAUGGUAAUUAUUAAUGUAUCAUGAAAAAUCUCAUCCUUAUCCAUUUAUAGGUUUAAGAAAAUCCAAUGAUUUUCUUUGCGUUGAUUCGUUUCUCAUGUCUUGGCAGUCUUGCAAUCCUUUUCAAGCAAUAUAAUCAGUCUCGGGUUUAUAAUCGAUAUUUACAGUACUAUAUAAGUCAGGUCUUAUCAUCUUCAAACUUAUCUCGUUUGGUGAAAGCUUUUUAAAUAUGGUGUAUCAGUUUUUUUGUCCAUCUAUUGUAUAUACUUAAUUAUGAUUUCUCUAAAAAAUAACAGUUGGGGAUCAUUUGUUGAUGACGAAUAUAAUAU